GCCCAGGUGGUGAAAUUGGUAGACACGCCAGGUUGAGGGCCUGGUCCCAGCAAUGGGGUGCUGGUUCGAGUCCAGUCCUGGGCACCA
rnacentral:tRNA from 1 species